rnacentral:rRNA from 1 species
CAGCCGUAAACUAUGCGCGUUAGGUGUGCUGGUGACCACGUGUCACCGGGUGCCGAAGGGAAACCGUGAAACGUGCCGCCUGGGAAGUACGGUCGCAAGGCUGAAACUUAAAGGAAUUGGCGGGGGAGCACCACAACGGGUGGGAGCCUGCGGUUUAAUUGGACUCAACGCCGGAAAUCUCACCGGAUAGGACAGACAAAUGAUAGUCGGGCUGAAGACUCUACUUGAUGAUCUGAGAGGAGGUGCAUGGCGUCAGUGACU